AGUGAACUUCGUUUGCAGUGAAAAUCCUUUUUUAGGCUUUUUCGGUCUCAAAAAGAUUGUAACGAAAAAGCCCGACCCUUG
rnacentral:sRNA from 1 species